CCGAGUUCAGCUCCGUCUGGUGCAGGCUAGUCCUACGUGCGCAGGCAGAGGCUCGGCUUGUCCCAGCACCGAGCGGGAAGUUGGAACCGGGCGUUGAGGGUUUAUUGGAGUGUACAUUGUGCCCUCUAGGAGGGGCUGCAGGUGGAGAACACAAAGGAGUUCUGGCACGGGAAGGAGUUUCUUAACCCUAAGACAAAGGGGAUGUGCACAGCAGGACGCAGACACAUGACAGAGAAACAUGAGCAGGAAAACACAGCUCCCAGCACUUACUGUGAUUUCUACCAAAAAGACAAACCAAGGCAUCAAAAAGCAUUCUGAAGGGCAAGUGUACAGAUGUCCUGGGCCUUGCCCCAGUUUGAUACAGGGCAGGAGAAUACUGGCUUUGUUCUCAAGGUGAGAGGAACUGGUUGUGGAUCUGGGCUUUGGAUUCAUUGGUUUCAAUAUGAAAUAUGUGCUCCCAAGCAAGCUGAUAACUCACCAGGGAGGGGGAAUGUGCCUCAGCCCACAAAAUAUCCACCCCGUAGUGUAUCUUAACAUACAGAAAUGAACCUCCUCACUAAUAAACUGGUCCUCUGAUAUUCACAUAUCACCCCUAAGAAUGAAGAACAUGGAAAAUUACAAUAAUAGUGUGUUACAUUGCUCUUAUGAGUACAGGAAAAAAUUCUGAAUAGGAAAAAGAAAUAUAACAAAGUCUGAGUAGUCUGCCUAAGCCAGGCCAUACCAAAGUUCUCCAUUACAUGGCACUGUUCAAUAAGACGUGUGUGAAAUUUUCAGACCUGAAAACCAAUUUAAAAUUAUAUUUCCAUAAUUAAGGUGAAAGUCUGGAGCUGUUUUUAGGGCAUAAACUCUACUGAGAUGAAUAUGAAAACAUGGUUUUCUUUGAAACAAAGGCAAAGGAGAUCACAAUGGACAGCUCGGGGGGAGCAGGAGGCCUGGAUGAAGCAUGCAGUCCUUGGCUCUGAGUGUCGCUGCCCGACUGACUCACAGCCAGUGGCUCCUGAGGACCAACAAUUUCUUUCAUAUCAACUUUUGAGAUGGCACAGAUCCCAGUAAUCUGGCUUUUCUAUAGGCCUGGAGUAUACAGCUGAACGUGACGGCUGAUGUUAUACUGGAAUUACGGGCUAGGUCAACAGCAAACUCAGGCACACAACCCAUUCUCAAAUGCCUAAGUACAAAACGUGAGUCUAGUGUAGUCUGGCCAUGGGCAUCGAUACAGAGGAGGUUCUGAUGAUCUUAUGAACUCACCUCCAGUGAAAAUAGGAAGUCAUAUCCAGUGGUGAGGUCUUGGAGUUGGGGGGCAUCUUCCCCAGCAGUAAGCCUCUCAGGCAGAAUACGUGGGCUCUGAAACUGGGCUGUCGUUUGUUAAUAUCACAUCCAAGCCCGAGGGUGAGGCCACUUGCAGUAGGGACUUUGCCCAUGACCCACGUACUCAUACUCGGGAAACUCUGAACAGGUUCCUGCGGUGGCCUUCAUGCCUUAUUUCAGACCACUGCGAUGGCAUGUAAGGCCAAUCUGUGAGCUGUGACCACCCACACAGGGGACAGGUCUCAUGGUCUUUGGGGUCACUGUCAAUAAUGAAACAGGCUGAAGAGCAACAGCACACCCCCAAAAUGUCCCUACCCACUCCUCACCACAGACACACAAAGGUACAGAGGUCUCUUUCAUUCCACAUUUAUUCUUUGCCUUGUUUUGGACUACAUCACACUGGCUCGAUUAAGAGCCACAAAAAGAGCCAUCAAGUGGCUGCAGCCUGCUGGCCAUCCACAAAUAACCAAGGGUCGCUCAAGCAUCAGGAGGACACACAUUUGGACCACUGAGGCUGAAAUCUGGUUGUGGUGUGCAUGUCUGUACCCAAAGGCCACAUUCAGAAGGUGCCAUGAUGAGCUCCAGCACCAUGGGCUGUGGUGAACAGCUGUGUUCACGGGGGCAUUUGUUUUUUCACUGUACGUGGAAUGAAUAAUCCAGAUUUUACUACCAGUUCCAGCCGGUGCUUGACUCAGGCAUAUAAAACCGCUCUGCCAAGUGGCACAGUGCACAGAGCACGCUGCCGGCUAUGCCAGCUCCUGCCCUGCCAGAUGGCACAGAAUCUCCCAUUCUCAAGUGCAAGUGCCCUCCUGCCAUGGCCAUGACACCAAGGCACCUGUACCGCCAGCAUCCAUCCAUCCCAGGCUCCCUCAUCCCCUCUCAUCUGAAAGGGUCAGACAGGAAAGAGAAACAAGAAGCUUAACCAGCACUGAAUUUAUAGCUGGGACCAUGUUCGAGAGCCUGACAAAUGAACCAAGGAAUCCACAAGGCUCCAGACAGUACUGUUUGGAUCCCAAAUGCCCACUGUUUGCUGCCAGGCCGCUACUCAGAUGCUGUAGUAACUGGAAUGAAAUGAGGUUGCUCAGAAGGGAAAGAAUGGCGAAUUCCUCUGGAAAUGAUCAGGACAGAAUCGCAAACAUUCAAAAUAAAGAAGGACGCGCUGGAUGGCCACAUUUUUGUCAGCCUACCAGAUUUCAGAAUACGGGGAUUAGAUUACCAUAGUCCA